AGUGUAAGUGCUGAGUCAUAUGGAAGUGGAAUGUUUAAUUUUAUAAGAAACUAUUGAACUGUUAUCCAAAGUGGCUUUGCUCUUUUCCAUUCCCACCAGCAAU
rnacentral:pre_miRNA from 1 species